UCGGCAUGGGCGAAAGCCUGAUCAGCAAUGCCGCGUGUGUGAAGAAGGCCUUCGGGUUGUAAAGCACUUUUGUCCGGAAAGAAAUCCUUUGGGUUAAUACCUCGGGGGGAUGACGGUACCGGAAGAAUAAGCACCGGCUAACUACGUGCCAGCAGCCGCGGUAAUACGUAGGGUGCAAGCGUUAAUCGGAAUUACUGGGCGUAAAGCGUGCGCAGGCGGUUUUGUAAGACGGAUGUGAAAUCCCCGGGCUUAACCUGGGAACUGCAUUCGUGACUGCAAGGCUAGAGUAUGGCAGAGGGGGGUAGAAUUCCACGUGUAGCAGUGAAAUGCGUAGAGAUGUGGAGGAAUACCGAUGGCGAAGGCAGCCCCCUGGGCCAAUACUGACGCUCAUGCACGAAAGCGUGGGGAGC
rnacentral:rRNA from 1 species